rnacentral:rRNA from 1 species
UACGUAGGGUGCGAGCGUUGCCCGGAUUCAUUGGGCGUAAAGGGCGCGUAGGCGGCUCGUUAAGGGUGCGGUGAAAGCCCGGGGCUUAACCCCGGGUCGGCCGUGCCGACUGAUGAGCUCGAGCACUGUAGAGGCAGGUGGAAUUCCGGGUGUAGCGGUGGAAUGCGUAGAGAUCCGGAAGAACACCAGUGGCGAAGGCGGCCUGCUGGGCAGUGGCUGACGCUGAGGCGCGACAGCGUGGGGAGCAAACAGG